rnacentral:rRNA from 1 species
UACGUAGGGUGCGAGCGUUGUCCGGAAUUAUUGGGCGUAAAGGGCUCGUAGGCGGUCUGUCGCGUCGGGAGUGAAAACUCAGGGCUUAACUGUGGGCGUGCGGGCGAUACGGGCAGACUGGAGUACUGCAGGGGAGACUGGAAUUCCUGGUGUAGCGGUGGAAUGCGCAGAUAUCAGGAGGAACACCGGUGGCGAAGGCGGGUCUCUGGGCAGUAACUGACGCUGAGGAGCGAAAGCGUGGGGAGCGAACAGG